GAGGUAGGGAUCUCAGAAGGAAAGCUGGUCAGCAGCCAGGAUGCCUUCCCCGCUCAGGAAAGGACAUGGUCUCUAGUGAACCUGACAGACAACCAGAUGGCCGCUGGCCUCCAUAUGCACAAACAAUGAAAGUACACUGGAGCCCAUUAUGAAGAAGAAAGAUGGUAACAAAGAUUCAAAUGGCAUGAAAAAGAAUCUUCAGUUUGUUGGCAUUAAUGGAGGUUAUGCAACAACUUCAAGUGAUGAUUUUCACACAGAUGAAAGCUCUUCUUCUGAGUCAGAUGACGAGUGUGAUGUCAUUGAGUGUCAUUGAGUAGUAUCCUCUUGAAGAAGACGAGGAUGAAGACACUUGGGGAAUGGCCAAAGGGCACCAUGCCAUUAACAUUGAAGGUUUCAAGUUGGCCAGGGUGGAAGAUGAAAUGCAGUUUCAAGAACGUGAACCUGAGAAGGUGAAAAUCAGAGGGAGGUAUAAAUUAAGUGAAAAAAUGUUGUCUGCUUGCAACUUACUGAAAAAUAAUAUAAAUGACCCCAAAGCUGUGACCAGCAAAGAUAUGAGGUUCUGUCUGAACACCCUCCAGCACAAGGGGUUCUGCGUGUCCAGUCAGAAGUUAGCCAUUGCAGCCACCCUGGGAGACUACAGAGCUGCUUUUGAGGCUACCUCCCUGGAUGCCCUCUACUAGGUCAUCAACUUGGCAGAUGGCAACAGCAACACAGCCCUCCAUUACAGCAUGUCCCACUCCAAUUUUGAGAUUGUGAAGCUGCUGUUGGACACCCACAUGUGUAACGUGGAUCACCAGAACAAGGGGCUAUACCUUCAUCAUGCUGGCGGCCCUCGCAGCUGCGGAAGCAGAGGACAUGCAGGUUGGGGAAGAACUCUGGCUGAAAGGUGAGCCUCAAAGCCAGUCAGCUGGGGCAGAUGGCCCUCAUGCUGCAGUCAGUUACUGUGCAGAUCGGCAUGGUGUAUGGUCUGCCGGCCUGUGGGGCUCAGGUCAACCUCCAGGACGACAAGGGCUCCAUGGUCCUCAUUGUGCCAGCAAGCACGGGCACAUGGAGAUCAUCAAGCUGCUGCUGGCCCAGCUGGGCUGCAACGUCCACCUGCAGGACAAUGAUGGCAGCACCAUGCUCUCGAUCGCCCUGGAAGUGGGGCACAAGGGCAUCACUGUUCUUCUGUAUGCCCACAUCAGCUUUGCAAAAGCUCAGUCUCCGGGCACCCCUAGGCUUGGAAUGAAGCCAC
rnacentral:lncRNA from 1 species